rnacentral:rRNA from 1 species
UGAGCAAUCUGCCCUUCUCUUCGGAAUAAGCGUUGGAAACGACGUCUAAUGCCGAAUACGACCUCCUUUCGCAUGAUCGGAGGUGGAAAGCUCCGGCGGAGAAGGAUGAGCUCGCGGCCUAUCAGCUGGUUGGUGUGGGUAAUGGCCCACCAAGGCGACGACGGGUAGCCGGCCUGAGAGGGUGACCGGCCACACUGGGACUGAGACACGGCCCAGACUCCUACGGGAGGNAG